rnacentral:rRNA from 1 species
UAGGGAAUCUUCCACAAUGGACGCAAGUCUGAUGGAGCAACGCCGCGUGAGUGAAGAAGGUUUUCGGACCGUAAAGCUCUGUUGUUGGUGAAGAAGGAUAGAGGUAGUAACUGGCCUUUAUUUGACGGUAAUCAACCAGAAAGUCACGGCUAACUACGUGCCAGCAGCCGCGGUAAUACGUAGGUGGCAAGCGUUGUCCGGAUUUAUUGGGCGUAAAGCGAGCGCAGGCGGAAGAAUAAGUCUGAUGUGAAAGCCCUCGGCUUAACCGAGGAAUUGCAUCGGAAACUGUUUUUCUUGAGUGCAGAAGAGGAGAGUAGAACUCCAUGUGUAGCGGUGGAAUGCGUAGAUAUAUGGAAGAAUACCAGUGGCGAAGGCGGCUCUCUGGUCUGCAACUGACGCUGAGGCUCGAAAGCAUGGGUAGCGAACAGGAUUAGAUACCCUGGUAGUCCAUGCCGUAAACGAUGAGUGCUAAGUGUUGGGAGGCUUCCGCCUCUCAGUGCUGCAGCUAACGCAUUAAGCACUCCGCCUGGGGGAGUACGGCCGCAAGGUUGAAAC